rnacentral:tRNA from 1 species
AGCGGGAUAACUCAGCCUGGCAGGGCGCGCGGCUCAUAACCGCGAAGUCAGCCGUUCGAGCCGCUUCCCGCAACCA